rnacentral:rRNA from 1 species
AGAGUUUGAUCAUGGCUCAGAAUCAACGCUGGCGGCGCGCCUAACACAUGCAAGUCGCACGAGAAAGCCGCAAGGUGAGUAAAGUGGCGCACGGGUGAGUAACACGUGGGUAAUCUGCCCUUUAGUGGGGAAUAACCCUGGGAAACCGGGGCUAAUACCGCAUAAUCCCGAGAGGGGAAAGGAGCAAUCCGCUGAAGGAGGGGCCCGCGGCCGAUUAGCUAGUUGGUGAGGUAAAGGCUCACCAAGGCUGAGAUCGGUAGCCGGCCUGAGAGGGCACACGGCCACACUGGCACGGAAACACGGGCCAGACUCGGACGGGGGGCAGCGGUGGGGAACCUUGGACAAUGGACGAAAGGCUGACGCAGCGAAGCCGCGUGGGUGAUGAAGGCCUUCGGGUUGUAAAGCCCUGUGGGGGGAGACGAAUAAGUACUGGCCAAUAUCCAGUGCGAUGACGGUAUCUCCUUAGAAAGCACCGGCUAACUCUGUGCCAGCAGCCGCGGUAAUUC